rnacentral:tRNA from 1 species
UAGGAAAUGGUGCAGCGGAAGCACUUAGAGUUUUGAGCUCUAAAGCAGGGGUUCAAGUCCCUUUUUCCUAA